AUUGAACGCUGGCGGCAUGCUUUACACAUGCAAGUCGAACGGUAACAGGGUGCUUGCACCGCUGACGAGUGGCGAACGGGUGAGUAAUGCGUCGGAACGUGCCGAGUAGUGGGGGAUAACGCAGCGAAAGUUGUGCUAAUACCGCAUACGUACUGAGGUAGAAAGUGGGGGACCUUCGGGCCUCACGCUAUUCGAGCGGCCGACGGCUGAUUAGCUAGUAGGUGAGGUAAAGACUCACCUAGGCGACGAUCAGUAGCGGGUCUGAGAGGAUGGUCCGCCCCACUGGGACUGAGAGACGGCCGAGACUCCUAGGGGAGGCAGCAGUGGGGAAUUUUGGACAAUGGGGGAAAGGAUGAUCGAGCCAUGCCGCGUGUGUGAAGAAGGCCUUCUGGUUGUAAAGGACUUGUGUCAGGGAGGAAAUCCCUAGUGCGAAUAAGACUGGGGGAUGACAGUACCUGAAGAAUAAGCACCGGCUAACUACGUGCCAGCAGCCGCAGUAACAC
rnacentral:rRNA from 1 species